CUGUGAGCUGUAUCUCUGGUACUUGCUAUGUACCUUUAGUGUUAAGGUGUGUCGCUGGGCAUUUUGCAUCUUAGUAGCUACUAGAUCUUGUGCCGGAGAUCCUACUGGAGAGAUCCGAUUGGGAUCUUUGGUGUUCUUUGGGGCUGUGAAGACCCUGGGUGGUGAGGAGUGGGCCCUAUGGCAUGUAGGGGUUUUGAGUAGCCGCCCUGUUAAUAAUGUGUUGC